AAUUCUCAAAAGGUUUAUUAGAAAAUGUAUUGACUAGGUAGUUUGUUGGUUGAAGCUUAACAUCUGAUAGAUCCUCCAUCGGAGGACAACAAAUGUUAAACUGAUUUUUGGAAAUGGGCGGAGUGUUUUAGGGGCUUGCUCCACCUCUGCCACGGGUUGGCCCGGUAUUGGAGUACGGCCGGGAUUUCGGCCCAAAUUAU